UAGCAAUACGAUGGAAAGUUUAGUGGCGAACGGGUGCUUAACACGUGGGCAACCUGCCAGGAAGUGGGGGAUAGCUCGCCGAAAGGCGAAUUAAUACCGCAUGUGAUUAGAGAGGACAUCCUUUCAAAAUUAAAGUCGGGGCAACCUGACGCUUCUUGUGGGGCCCGCGGCCUAUCAGCUAGUUGGUGAGGUAACGGCCCACCAAGGCUUUGACGGGUAGCUGGUCUGAGAGGACGACCAGCCACACUGGGACUGAGACACGGCCCAGACACCUACGGGUGGCAGCAGUCGAGAAUUUUUGACAAUGGGGGAAACCCUGAUCGAGCGACGCCGCGUGGAGGAUGAAGGUCUUCGGAUUGUAAACUCCUGUCAUUGGGGAACAAUGCACAAAUAUUAACUGUAUUUGUGUUGAUAGUACCCGAAGAGGAAGAGACGGCUAACUCUGUGCCAGCAGCCGCGGUAAUACAGAGGUCUCAAGCGUUGUUCGGAUUCAUUGGGCGUAAAGGGUGCGUAGGCGGCGCGGUAAGUCGGGUGUGAAAUCUCGGAGCUUAACUCCGAAACUGCAUUCGAUACUGCCGUGCUUGAGGACUGGAGAGGAGACUGGAAUUCUCGGUGUAGCA
rnacentral:rRNA from 1 species